GUCGUGAGAUGUUGGGUUAAGUCCCGCAACGAGCGCAACCCCUGUCCUAUGUUGCCAGCAUUUAGUUGGGGACUCAUGGGAGACUGCCGGUGACAAACCGAAGGAAGGUGGGGAUGACGUCAAGUCCUCAUGCCCCUUAUGUCCAGGGCUACACACGUGCUACAUUGGCGCCCACAGAGGGAUGCAAUACCGUGAGGUGGAGCGAAUCCCAAAAAGGGCGUCUCGGUUCGGAUUGGAGGCUGAAACUCGCCUCCAUGAAGGUGGAGUUGCUAGUAAUCGCGGAUCAGCAACGCCGCGGUGAAUACGUUCCCGGGCCUUGUACACACCGCCCGUCACACCACGAAAGCAGGCAACACCCGAAGCCGGUGGUCCAACCCGCAAGGGAGGAAGCCGUCGAAGGUGGGGCUUGUGAUUGGGGUGAAGUCGUAACAAGGUAGCCGUAGCGGAAGCUGCGGCUGGAUCACCUCCUUUCUAGGGAGACAUUUGUUCCUAGAAUGUCGACCGGGCUCGUCUGCCGCCUUCCCUUCGGGGUCGGCGGUCGCGCACUGCUCAGUUUGAGAGACCGCGGAGGGCGGAAGUCAUCCGCCUGCGGCCUCGGCGGAGCUUGAAAACUGCACAAAGGCUAAAGGUAAGAAAGAAGUAUCCGGGUGAGCGCCUUGGCGCUAGCCCGGAGCUCACCGUCAAGAUGUUAAGGGCACACGGUGGAUGCCUUGGCACCAGGAGUCGAUGAAGGACGUGGACGGCUGCGAUAAGCCGCGGUUAGGCGCUGAACAGCCAUUGACCCGCGGAUCU
rnacentral:sRNA from 1 species